CGUUUAGGGGUAAACCUGAGAAACCCGAAAGGUCGAAGGGUGAAAUUCAUCGCGUUUCGCCGCAGGCGUUGAACGGGGUCGAGCGACGGAAUACGUUUCGUGCGCGUUCCGCACCCUCCGUUUUUCGAACCGGUGGCGAACGUGUGCACUUUUCACCUGGUAGGACGUCGCGAUCCGUCGGGUGUCGGUCUACGGUACGCGGUGGAGUCCGUUCGUCGUCCUUACGGACGUGUACGAACGGACCCGCGUUAUUCCCGGCCGACCCUCUCGACGGUAUACGAAUGGUUUGAGGCCGCUUAUUUUUUUUAAGCGUUCGUCUUAGCGGCAAGCGCGUUAGAUCAGUCGUAGACCGGACCUAGUGCCGAUCGCGACUUCUGACGACUGUUGGCCGCCAAGUUCUCGAACAGAGCCUCAAGUUAAACCGAUCGGCGACGCUAUAGCUUUGGGUACUUUCAGGACCCGUCUUGAAACACGGACCAAGGAGUCUAGCAUGUGCGCGAGUCAUUGGGAUUUAUUCGAAACCUAAAGGCGCAAUGAAAGUAAAGGUUUUCCUCGCGAAGACCGAGGGAAGACGAACGAGAUUUUUACGUCUCGUUCCGCACUCCCGGGGCGUCUCGUUCUCAUCGCGAGAAGAGGCGCACCAAGAGCGUACACGCUGGGACCCGAAAGAUGGUGAACUAUGCCUGGU
rnacentral:rRNA from 1 species